ensembl:lncRNA
CGGAGCCCGGCACUUACCUGGCGCUGCCUCCCGGCCGCUCCGGCGGUCCCGCGCCGCGCGCCCGAUCACCACGGGGUGUUUUGGGGUUGUUUGUUUUUUUUUUUAGAAAGCCCAGAAGCGAAGCGUCCCUUCCUCCAGGUAUGUAUAUAAGUUACUGUACUGUGUGGGAGGGUCACGAUCUCGCUAGGUGCAGAAGAUUCCCCGGGAUUAACCCCUCCUCUCCCUUCCCCUCCUGCAACUUGUUGAGGAUGGCACCGCGCGCGCACGCGGAGCGGCACACGGCCGCACGCACACACACGCGGAGCGCGGCGCGGGAGCGGUCCGGUGCCCCCGACGGCGCGGUGAUUGGCCGCGCUGCUCGUGGAGAAGGGGACGUCUCAAGUCGAAGUCACGAUUUCUCCUCAGUUUGGAACCAUCUGUGACUGGAGCCAUGACGCAGCCAGAGCACAUUACUCACUUUUACAGUCACGACUUGGAAAUCCGUGCAGUUUCCAACCAAAAUUACACCGCCACCAUUGAAUUAUUUAAUAGGAUCCAGUUAAGGAGCCACCGCUUCCGAGUUCCGACGAUUGGCUGCACGUGCUGCAAGGGCUUUUUUUCCUUUAAACCCCGACCAAACAAACCGGGGACGGGUCCGUUUGUAAAUACGACCACGCGCGCUCGGGAAAGGGACGCUUCGGUUCCUACAUUCGGGGCGUCCGUGGGCGGAGUGCCGCGGUGCGGCUCCGCGGGGCUCGGCGCGAGGAGCGGCGCUUUGUGUGCCCGCGGCCGCGGCCGCAGCGCGGCAUUGUCUGCGGGAUCCGCCGGCGGUGCCGGGCUUUGUGCGGUAGGUGCACCAUUUUCUAAGCUCGCUCGUACCGCGAGGCGACGGCUGAGCGCGCUCGGCGGGAGCCGCCGCCGCGGCUAUUGUCUGCCCGUACCUCUCCCACCCCCGCAGGGCUCCGGCCGCGGCGGAGCCCCCUCCCUCCUCGGCGG